rnacentral:ncRNA from 1 species
GAUAACAGUGCAAUCUUAUUUGAGAGUCCAUAUCGAAAAUUAGGGUUUACAACCUAGAUGUUGGAUCAGGACACCCAAAUGAUGCAACCACUAUUAGUUCGUUUGUUCAAAGAUUAAAGUUCUAUGUGAUCUGAGUUCAGACUGGAGAAAUCCAGGUC